rnacentral:lncRNA from 1 species
AUGGAAAGCCAAGGUUUGAUUAUAAUUUUGAAGCAGAUCACUGAACUUUUAGAAAUUGUAAAGUACAUAUGUCCUUGGUUCUCUACGGAAAAAGAAUUGGAUCCAAAUGAGUGGAAAUUUGUAGGAGAACAACUAGGUGAAUACUACAAUUCUAAUCCAAACUCAAUGGAGUGGAAAUUAGUAGAAGAGGAUCUUUGUCAAUUCUGCAAUAAAAAUGGACCUGACUCAAUUUCCAAAGAUACACUUAAUACAUACAAUUUAAUACAACUGGCUAUAAAAAAUUAUAUAAGUAUUAGAAUGAAAAAAGAGCAGGAAGGGGAGGUGCCAACUAAACUAGGUGAAAAGGAGGAAGAAUCAGAUAAGAAUGGAGUUAAAUACAAUUUUGAGUGUGAUACUUCACAGCAGGAGAAAUUAGAUCAUUCCACAUCUCAUCACCCUCUCCCCUCAAUUAACCCUUCAUGGGUGGAGGAAGAAGGAAGAAGGGGAGAGGCAGAAACACAAUCAGCAUCUCCUGUGAAGCAGAAUAUGACAAGAUUAGAAAAGGCAUUGAUUAAGGCAAAAAAUGAAGGAGAAGAUAUAUCUGAUUUUAUAAAUGCAUAUCCUAUGAUUGAAGAACUCGACUCUUCAGGUCAAAAAGGGAGAAAAUACACUCUUUUUAAUUUGGAAAAAAUUAAGGAUUUGAAAAAGGGUUGCACUCUUUAUGGGGCUACAUCAUCUUAUGUUAAAAUGUUACUAAAUAAUUUGUCUUAUAAAAUCUUAACCCCAAAUGAUUGGAAAUCCAUAGUUAGGACAUGUUUAGAACCUGGACAAAAUUUGUUGUGGCUUUUGGAGUUUCAUGAAUUAUGUAGGAUUCAAGCCCAACACAUUAGGCAAACAGGAACUAAUGUACAAAUAGCUUUUGACCAACUAGCUAGUGAAGGUCAGUAUGGAGAGAAUUCAGAACAGAUUUAUUAUUCCAUACCAAUGUAUGAGCAAAUUUCUAAGGCUGCAAUAAAAGCUUGGGGUUCCCUCCCAGGACAAAAAGAAUGA